ensembl:snRNA U1 U1 spliceosomal RNA
AUACUCACCUGGAAGGGGAGACACCAUGAUCACAAAGGUGGUUUUCCCAGGGCGAGUCUUAUUUAUUGCACUCUGGAUGUGUGACCCCUGCGAUUUCCCCAAAUGCGGGAAACUUGACUGCAGAAUUUAUGGUAGUGGGGGAAUGCAUUCGCGCUUUCCCCUG